UUGUCGAAUGGGACCAAAUGGGCUAGCAUUCCCCUUGCUAAGGAUGAAAGAGGGUACUAGUGGCUUUUAUAAUCCAUAUUCCAUCCAGGCAUUGCCACUUAUUCUGUGGCAUCUAACCAAGUCACAGAACAAAUACUUGU
ensembl:snRNA